UACGUAGGUGGCAAGCGUUGUCCGGAUUUACUGGGCGUAAAGAGCGCGCAGGCGGUCGUACAAGUCGCGUGUGAAAGCCCCCGGCUCAACUGGGGAGGGUCACGCGAUACUGUUCGACUCGAAGGCAGGAGAGGGAAGCAGAAUUCCCGGUGUAGUGGUGAAAUGCGUAGAUAUCGGGAGGAAUACCAGUGGCGAAGGCGACUUCCUGGCCUGUUCUUGACGCUGAGGCGCGAAAGCUAGGGUAGCAAACGGG
rnacentral:rRNA from 1 species